GACUCUCGACAACGGAUAUCUCGGCUCUUGUCGUGAUGAAGAACGUAGCAAAAUGUGAUACUUAGUGUUAAUUGCAGAAUCUCGUGCAUCAUCGAGUUUUUAAAUGCAAUUUAGGCCCGAGGCCUCGGUCGAGGGAACGUCUGUCUGGACGUGG
rnacentral:rRNA from 1 species